AUGAAAAAAUAAAAAUCCCUAAAUCCCAUCCCUCCACUCUCUGUCAACUGUCUUUACACCUACUGCCUCAGCGAAUCAGCUGACUGCCUGUCGUGCCGACUCUCUCGCUCUCUGCAUCCCUCCCCUCUCUACUGUUUCUAAAAUCCCUCCGACCCUCUCGCUCGCCCAAAUCCCUCCGACCUUCUCCACUGCUUCUAAAACACGCCCUCUCCACUGCUUUCGAGUUUUGCUCCAGUCUCCAUUGCUUCGUGCUUCCAAACCCAUGUCUCACACACGCAAGUGGAAGAUCUGCAACCAUUGAAGUCUGCUUCAGUUGAAAAGUCCGUCCAGCAACGUUUCAGAUUUGUGCUAUUUCGAGAUCUAUCCGUUCAACUUUCAAGACUUCAAAGUUCAAGCCGGUGCCGAGUCUGUUUUUAGCACCUGUGGUAGGAUUGUAAGCCCACAUCGUAACAAACUUCAUCCAAAGACGAUAGAGGCUUUGAUAUGCGCUCAAAAUUGGAUUGCAACUGAAGUUUUGACAGAAAUGGUUACACAUUCAGCAACUGUUCUAGAAGAUGCUUCUGAUGAAGAUGGCGUGGUGACUAAGGAAUGAAUACAACUAAGGAUGGGAUGAUGCCAAGAAAGGUGAAAGAUUUGAUUGUGAAGUCAUUGAAGAGAGAAUGACGAGUUUUAUUGAAUUUUAAGUUGUAUACUUAUUUGAAUGUAUAAGACGUUUGCCUUUAAUUGACUUCCUUAUUCAAACUUUAUUGAAUUUUAAGUUGUAAAGUUAUCUAAUGGAUUUGUUAGCUUUUAAAUUGUCAA